CAUGCUUGUUGUUGACGCAGAUUUUGAGUCACAGCGCUAUUAAGGUUCUCUUACCGUCAGCGGUGUUGGAAAAUGAGAUAAAAAAGUUGAUUCCCGCAGGUGAAUCUAAAUGAUAGCUGCUGAGGUGCCCCGAGCUAAUCACAUAGCCUUGACAGGGGAAAGGUGAUUGGCAUAGACAAAAAAAUGCUGCAUAAAACAAGGACAAGAAAGAAGAGGACAUUCAGAGAAGAGGGUGAUGGAGGACAGAGAGAGAGAUCGAGGGCAUGGAGAGGAGAAGAGGAUAGAGUGAAUAAAGAGAAGAACGAGUAGAGCCUGUGCAGAGAAGGAUGUAUGGGAGAGGAGCAUGAGCGCAGGAAAGAAGUGACCAAAAUAGAGUUCAGACAGCAGGAUGACACAAAUGACAGAGGAAUAUGGAAGAGAUAGCAUUUAUAAACUCUGCAUCAACACAGCAAGGUACUUUUCUGUCAGAACAGCAGAAAUGCAGACUGUGGUGUAUAUGCGUAUUUACUGCUGUAAAUUAAAUCUGAACCACUACAAAGACA